GAAAAAGUAACUCAGUGGUAGAGUGUCGGUUUGUCGUACCGAAGGUCGCGGGUUCAAAUCCCGUCUUUUUCG
rnacentral:tRNA from 1 species